UACGUAGGGGGCAAGCGUUGUCCGGAAUCAUUGGGCGUAAAGAGCGCGUAGGCGGCCCAGUAAGUCCGCUCUGAAAGUCAGGGGCUCAACCCCUGGAUGCGGGUGGAUACUGCUGGGCUAGAGUCCGGAAGAGGUGAGUGGAAUUCCUGGUGUAGCGGUGAAAUGCGCAGAUAUCAGGAAGAACACCCGUGGCGAAGGCGGUUCUCUGGGACGGUACUGACGCUGAGACGCGAAAGCGUGGGGAGCGAACAGG
rnacentral:rRNA from 1 species